GAUGAACGCUGGCGGCGUGCCUAAUACAUGCAAGUCGAGCGAACGGACGAGAAGCUUGCUUUUCUGAUGUUAGCGGCGGACGGGUGAGUAACACGUGGAUAACCUACUUAUAAUACUGGGAUAACUUCGGGAAACCGGAGCUAAUACCGGAUAAUAUUUUGAACCGCAUGGUUCAAAAGUGAAAGACGGUCUUGCUGUCACUUAUAGAUGGAUUCGCGCUGCAUUAGCUAGUUGGUAAGGUAACGGCUUACCAAGGCAACGAUGCAUAGCCGACCUGAGAGGGUGAUCGGCCACACUGGAACUGAGACACGGUCCAGACUCCUACGGGAGGCAGCAGUAGGGAAUCUUCCGCAAUGGGCGAAAGCCUGACGGAGCAACGCCGCGUGAGUGAUGAAGGUCUUCGGAUCGUAAAGCUCUGUUAUUAGGGAAGAACAUAUGUGUAAGUAACUGUGCACAUCUUGACGGUACCUAAUCAGAAAGCCACGGCUAACUACGUG
rnacentral:rRNA from 1 species